rfam:Octopus bimaculoides Scaffold50635_contig_7, whole genome shotgun sequence.
UAUAUGUAUUAAGAGAGUGGCGGUUAGCACUCCCCUUUACAGGGAUAGAAGAGAUCAUUUGAACUUUCUAAUAUUCAUGGGCAUUACUUUCUACUUCAGAACAAUCUAUUCUUUAU